GUGCCAGCCGCCGCGGUAACACCGGCAGCUCUAGUGGUAGCCAUUUUUAUUGGGCCUAAAGCGUUCGUAGCCGGUUUAAUAAGUCUUUGGUGAAAGCCUACAGCUUAGCUGUGGGAAUUGCUGGAGAUACUAUUAGACUUGAGGUCGGGAGAGGUUAGAGGUACUCCCAGGGUAGGGGUGAAAUCCUGUAAUCCUGGGAGGACCACCUGUGGCGAAGGCGUCUAACUGGAACGAACCUGACGGUGAGGGACGAGAGCUAGGGGCGCGAGCCGGAUUAGAUACCCGGGCAGUCC
rnacentral:rRNA from 1 species